CCUCUCAUCAUUAGUCACGGUAACAAAGACAUGCUCGCGAAGAAGCCGAAGGAGGAGCCCUCUCUCUCUCUCUCUCUCUCUCUCUCUCUCUCUCUCUCUCCCCCCUCCCUUCCUUCAUGGCAGCUUCUUCCUUCUUCUCUUCACUUUUCCUCCCCUAACCCUAAUUUUCAUCUCUUUCAUAGCUCCAAAACUCCGCCAAUUCUCGUUCUCCUCUCUCCUAGAGAAAAUCGUUCACCGUACACAGCGACCGGAGAGAUUUUCUUGAGACUUACUUCGCUACUGAUUAAUGGCUGGAGCAACGGGGCACUGUUGUCGGGGAUUCCAGAUCUGUGACCAUGUUUGAGCCUGAGGUCCUGUAGCAGCAGAGGCUGAGCGUCAAAGAGAAGGCGAGAAGCGAAAUACAAGUCCGAUGGCACUAAACUUGGCGAGGUCUAAACGCAGAUGAAACCAGCUGAUCAGAAAGCAAAACAUGAGUCCCGCCAGAGCAACGAAGCAGGUCCACCAGAUGGAUAUAUAUUUUCAACGCAGAAACAAGGUAUAUAUGUUAGAGUUCACCAAGCUCUUAAUCAAUCAAGUCAAUAUUGGUACCAGAAAACAAACGGAUUAAACAUUUUCAUUAUUCUUGUAAUUAUCAUGUAAUUUCUGUGAAUUCCUCUUGUAGAUCUACACAACCGUGUAAUGUUAAUUUUUUUUCCUUUCAGACACAAAUUAAAGGCUCUGUAUAUAACAAUUCUCCCCAAUAAAUCCGUCCAACUUAUUAACAAUGAUCUCUCUGAUUAUUAGUUUAUAUACAACAAUCACGAGUAAGGUAAGAAUUAAGAACUAUUCUUCCAUCUUUUUCUUUGUUUUUUUUUCCUUUUUAAUAUAAGGUCAUCACUGUAUCCCACCAUGAAGAUGGAUUAUUGAGUUUGCUUGGCGAGCAAACUCACAUAUUCAUCGGCUUAAUUCUCUAACUUCUAUCAUUUUCAUGGUGACAAGAUGAAGGUAAAUGAAAAAUACUCUAAUAAGGGAACAACUGCUCCUGGCCAAAAAGUAGAAGGUAUACUUUCUUUGACCCAAUAUAGAUUGUCACAUAUUCUUCGUUUUAGCAUGAUAAGAAGCUCGUACAUUUAUCUUGUUAUCAUCCUUCUUAUGGGAAAAUUCAAAACUACAAAUGUAGAAAUUACUCCACAAAUUUCAUAACUUAUAACUCACUAGUGCAAAUUUGACUUUUUAUGGGGAUACUUUUUAUAUAGGUUGUUUAGCAAAUGAUAUAGAAAAUCAAGAUGGUAGCAAUUUUAUAAUUAUCAACUUGAAUUGAAAUUUACAUUAGUUCUUAAAAAGUAAUAUUUUAUACAUCGGUUGCUUGAUAAACUGAUGUAAAAAGUGAUUAAAAAUUUAAAAAUUUUAAGAAUUUAUUACUUUAUACAUGGGUUCCAUAAGGAACCAACAUAAAAAGUCUUUAAAAAGGUCCCUUGCAUUCACUGAUCUCCAUCAUCACUCUCAUCAAUGCCUCAUCAUCGUGGUUAACCCACGGUGCUCCUAUUCACUGUGCCCAAAACUUGUUGGCCUUCGUUGAUGCUCUUUCUUCAUUAUUUUGCUUGUAUUCCUCCAUUUUUGCCAAGAGAAGAGAGGUAAUGUUCUAUGGGUUAAAUGCCCUAUUUGAUUUAGGAGUUUUAGAAUGGUUGCUCUCUAAUUUAGCAUGCUAUACGAAUCCUUCAUGUAUAUCCUUGAUUUAAUGAAUAUUCCGCUUUAGAAUGGUUGUUCUCUGAAUAUAUAUAUAUAUAUAUAUAUAUGCAUCAUAUGUCAUCUCACUUGAUUUGUUUUAUUCCUAUUUAGCGUUUGUGUUUCUUUCCUUUUUCCCAAUGGCUUGUGCGUAUAUUCGCAUUCAAUUCAAGCUUUAACAACUACAGCUUUGAUUAGAUGUUUUGGGUGUUGGAUCUAUCGCCUUUGCAUUCUUGCCAAAAGAAUAAGAAAGGACUACUGGUUUUAUUUUGUUGCAUUAUUGAGUAUUUGGUUUGUAUUUGAUGGAAUCUGUACAGCAAUGGGAAUUGUAAAUUAGAGCUGCUUCACAGAGAAAUAAAGGAAAAAAAACAAAGCUAAAGAAGAAGACUAGAACAAAGGACUUGGAAUUAGGCAUUUUGGUGAUGUCCCUUUUGGAGAAGCCUGCACUUAGUGGUAGUGGUACAUUUCUAUUCUAUCACUUAACAAGUAUUCAUUAUUUUGUGUUUGUUUAAGAAUAUUGGCCUAUUCAGAUGUGCAUAUGCGAAUGAAAAAGAGAUACAACAGAAAAGCAAGGACUAGGAGUGUUGGGUAAAUUUACUUGUAUCACUUCAAGCUUACUAAUAUAGCCGUGGUUGAUCUUUGAAUCACUUUCUGAUUUUU